rnacentral:tRNA from 1 species
GGGGGUAUGGUUCAGUAGGUAGAGUACCUGCCUAUCAUGCAGAAGGCCCUGGGUUUGAUUUCCAGCACCACAG